rnacentral:rRNA from 1 species
UACGGAGGGGGCUAGCGUUGUUCGGAAUUACUGGGCGUAAAGCGCGCGUAGGCGGACCUGCAAGUCGGGGGUGAAAGCCCGAGGCUCAACCUCGGAACUGCCUUCGAUACUGCGGGUCUCGAGUCCGGGAGAGGUGAGUGGAAUUCCUAGUGUAGAGGUGAAAUUCGUAGAUAUUGGGAAGAACACCAGUGGCGAAGGCGGCUAACUGGUCCGGAUCUGACGCUGAGGUGCGAAAGCGUGGGGAGCAAACAGG